rnacentral:rRNA from 1 species
GGCGGCGUGCUUAACACAUGCAAGUCGAGCGGAAAGGCCCUUCGGGGUACUCGAGCGGCGAACGGGUGAGUAACACGUGAGCAACCUGCCCUAGGCUUUGGGAUAACCCUCGGAAACGGGGGCUAAUACCGAAUAUGACCUUCUGGCCGCAUGGUUGGUGGUGGAAAGUUUUUCGGCUUGGGAUGGGCUCGCGGCCUAUCAGCUUGUUGGUGGGGUGAUGGCCUACCAAGGCGACGACGGGUAGCCGGCCUGAGAGGGCGACCGGCCACACUGGGACUGAGACACGGCCCAGACUCCUACGGGAGGCAGCAGUGGGGAAUAUUGCACAAUGGGCGGAAGCCUGAUGCAGCGACGCCGCGUGAGGGAUGACGGCCUUCGGGUUGUAAACCUCUUUCAGCAGGGACGAAGCGCAAGUGACGGUACCUGCAGAAGAAGCGCCGGCCAACUACGUGCCAGCAGCCGCGGUAAGACGUAGGGCGCGAGCGUUGUCCGGAUUUAUUGGGCGUAAAGAGCUCGUAGGCGGCUUGUCGCGUCGACUGUGAAAACCCGCGGCCCAACUGCGGGCCUGCAGUCGAUACGGGCAGGCUAGAGUUCGGUAGGGGAGACUGGAAUUCCUGGUGUAGCGGUGAAAUGCGCAGAUAUCAGGAGGAACACCGGUGGCGAAGGCGGGUCUCUGGGCCGAUACUGACGCUGAGGAGCGAAAGCGUGGGGAGCGAACAGGAUUAGAUACCCUGGUAGUCCACGCUGUAAACGUUGCGCGCUAGGUGUGGGGGGCCUCUCCGGUUCCCUGUGCCGCAGCUAACGCAUUAAGCGCCCCGCCUGGGGAGUACGGCCGC